UGGUGCAAAAGUAAUUGCGGUUUUUGCCAUUAAAAGUAAUGGCAAAAACGGCAAUUACUUUUGCACC
ensembl:miRNA